ACUUUUAAAGGAUAACAGUCGAUCCACUGGUCUUAGGAACCACCCAUC
rnacentral:tRNA from 1 species